ACACGGACCAAGGAGUGCAACAUGCGUGCGAGUCUUGGGGUGACAAACCCGUCGGCGCAAUGAAAGUGAAGGCAAACGGUGGUUUGCUUAGGUGAGAGCCUCCGUCCGGAGGCACAUCAUCGACCGAUCCUAGGCUACGCUGUAGCGGGAUUUGAGUAAGAGCGUGCCUGUUGCGACCCGAAAGAUGGUGAACUAUGCCUGAAUAGGGUGAAGCCAGAGGAAACUCUGGUGGAAGCUCGUAGCGAUUCUGACGUGCAAAUCGAUCGUCAAAUUUGGGUAUAGGGGCGAAAGACUAAUCGAACCAUCUAGUAGCUGGUUCCCUCCGAAGUUUCCCUUAGGAUAGCUGGAGCCCGGUGCAGUUUUAUCAGGUAAAGCGAAUGAUUAGAGGUCUUGGGGUUGAAACAACCUCAACCUAUUCUCAAACUUUAAAUGGGUAAGAAGCUCGGCUUGCUUAAUUGAAGUCGGGCAUUGAAUGCCGGGGCUCUUAGUGGGCCAUUUUUGGUAAGCAGAACUGGCGAUGCGGGAUGAACCGAAUGCUGGGUUAAGGUGCCCGAAUCAACGCUCAUCAGAUACCAUGAAAGGUGUUGGUUGAUCUAGACAGCAGGACGGUGGCCAUGGAAGUCGGAAUCCGCUAAGGAGUGUGUAACAACU
rnacentral:rRNA from 1 species